UACGUAGGGUGCAGGCGUUAAUCGGAAUUACUGGGCGUAAAGCGUGCGCAGGCGGUCUUUUAAGUCAGAUGUGAAAUCCCCGGGCUUAACCUGGGAACUGCGUUUGAAACUGGAAGGCUUGAGUGUGGCAGAGGGGGGUGGAAUUCCACGUGUAGCAGUGAAAUGCGUAGAGAUGUGGAGGAACACCGAUGGCGAAGGCAGCCCCCUGGGCUAACACUGACGCUCAUGCACGAAAGCGUGGGGGGCAAACAGG
rnacentral:rRNA from 1 species